AUAUCAGAAGGCACACCCGGAGAACUGAAACAUCUUAGUACCCGGAGGAAGAGAAAGAAAAUUCGAUUCCCUUAGUAGCGGCGAGCGAAAUGGGAAGAGCCCAAACCAACAAGCUUGCUUGUUGGGGGUGUAGGACACUCUAUACGGAGUUACAAAGGACGACAUUAGACGAAUCAUCUGGAAAGAUGAAUCAAAGAAGGUAAUAAUCCUGUAGUCGA
rnacentral:rRNA from 1 species